CAGCCGCCGCGGGAAUACGGAGGGUGCGAGCGUUAAUCGGAAUUACUGGGCGUAAAGCGUACGCAGGCGGUUUGUUAAGUCAGAUGUGAAAUCCCCGAGCUUAACUCGGGAACUGCAUUUGAAACUGGCAGGCUAGAGUCUCGUAGAGGGGGGUAGAAUUCCAGGUGUAGCGGUGAAAUGCGUAGAGAUCUGGAGGAAUACCGGCGGCGAAGGCGGCCCCCUGGACGAAGACUGACGCUCAGGUACGAAAGCGUGGGGAGCAAACAGGAUUAGAUACCCGCGUAGUCCCUGUCUCUUAUAC
rnacentral:rRNA from 1 species